UGUGAAUCUGGGUCAAUGACGUCACUUCACUUCUCGGAUUCUGUUUAGUCGAGAAAAGUUUUCCCAGCACCGCGCCUUGGACAUUAUUUUCUUCCCCUUUUUGCAACAACGAUACUUUUUGACUGACCAUUUCUACGGAAUAGCCAUCAUGUCUCCCCCAUCAAGAAGGCUUCAAACGAAGCCUGUGAUCACAUGUCUCAAGACCUUUCUUAUUUCUUACAGCGUCAUAUUUUGGUUUACAGGGGUUUUCCUUCUGGCUGUUGGCAUAUGGGGGAAGGUGAACCUGGAAGCUUAUUUGAAGCUGACCUCUGAAACGAGCACCAACAUGCCAUAUGUCCUCAUCGGAACUGGAGCCAUCAUUGUUAUUUUUGGCCUUUUUGGUUGCUUCGCUACAUGCCGUGGUAGUCCAUGCAUGCUAAAACUGUAUGCCACGUUCCUGAUUUUGAUGUUCUUAGUGGAGUUUGUGGCUGGCGUCUUUGGCUUCUUGAGACAUGAGAUAAAGGCUGUAUUAGGUGAUGCCUAUAAAGAUGCUGUGACGAACUACAAUACCACUGACCCCAAAAGCUCUGAAGUUGACGCCAUCCAGAGGACUUUUCACUGCUGUGGAGUGAAUAGUUACAAGGACUGGAACGCGACAAAGUACUUCAAAGACAAUGGUAUCCCUGUCAGCUGUUGCAAAGCGAACACGGUCUGCUCUGUCGAGAACCUCGAGGACCUUGACAAGGCUCGUGACGUGGUGUAUGACACGGGCUGCAUCUCACUGCUGACCACUUCUAUGGAGUCUAAACUGGGAAUCAAUGCAGGGGCAUGUUUUGGAGUUGCGUUUUUCCAGCUCAUUGGGGUUUUCUUGUCCUGCUGCUUGUCUCGAUACAUCACCAUCAACCAGUAUGAGAUGGUCUAGCAGUGUCCUUCCACAGUUCUUAGAGCGUCGCGCUUGCAGCGCCAGGGUUGUGGGUUCGAUUCCCACGGGGGACCAGUACGAAAAAAGUGUUAAUGUACACACUCACUACUGUCACUGACAGGCUGCUCAUGAUGCAAAGGGAUCUGGCAUAUUUUGAAUCCUUCGUAUACGUGUAAUGGUUAUGAUACUUUAGAAUACACUCUUGCUGGUAAAAAAAAACGCACCUUUUUGACUUUCACUUUUCAAUGGCAGCCAGAUUGAAGGAAAAAAAGUUAUUGGACACCAUAAGGGAUUUAUUUCUGCCAUUCUGUCAUCAAUGGGAUAAAGCUUUGUCUUGCUAAGGCUAGUGGAAUACAGUUUAUUGUGCUUAAAUGUUCAUUUGGGAUUCACUGACUUUGUUUGAUGCUAUUAUAUAUGACAUAUUGCAGUUGGUUUGGUGCGCUUAGACCAAAUAUUAAUGUAUACGUUAAGCGUUCUCAUAUGCAUGUAAUUUUCUAUCGUAUAGGCUGCCGUCAUAUUGUUGUUAUAUGGCAUCUUGUGUGUUAAAAUGGUCUUACUGUAGCUUAUGUUAUUUUCAUGAUUGGCAUUACAAUAUUAUAAGCUGGUGACUAAUUAGACCAUCUGGAACACCACGGUAAUUUACACUGUGGAAAACCUCCAGCAAUCCAGCCAUCUCUUCGGUGGAGACUGGGAGAAAAGUAUUCAAAGGAGCCUUUGUGCUGUUGACACGUAGUUAAUAGAAAAUUAUACACCACUGUGAUUUCAUGUGCAUGUGAAGGCAUUUUAUAAGCCUUUUAUGUGAUUUACUGUGUUUUAAGUUUAUGUUCAGGUCUUGUAUUCACAAAAAAAAUAUAUAUAUAUAUAUAUCCUCAAUUGAAAAUAAUUGUCUGUGUUAAUUGUUGUUCAUUUUGUGUAAAAAGCAUGAAGUUAGGUGUCUUUAUUUUUUGUUCAUCUUUAAAAACAACUGGGUCCCACUCAAAUGACUAUUUUAUAGGCCUGCCUUGUUUUGUUAUUGACUGAAAUGGUGUGAAAAUUGCAUGCACCUGGGGUGUAUUCAUUAUGGAAACCGUUUAAGAACCAAACCGUGCAACACGAGUUUCUAUUGGACAAAUGCAGGUAGGUCCCUCCCCGUUUCGUUACGUUUGCUUCAGUUUUGCAACAUAGUUGGUGGAAUGAAUGCUAUUCACUAGGAACCAACACGAAGUAAACUGACUGUCCAAUAGACAAUAUUUGCGUUGCUACAAGUUUUCCAGUGCGGUGUGCAGCAGCUGGCGAGUUUAUUUGGCUACGAGGGACGUGAUUCUCACCCAGAAAUCACAUCACUGAAAACUUAGCAGGUCAAUUCCACCACUUUAACCUGAUUUUCAUUAUCUCUAGCACAAUACCAGUGUUUACAUAUUGAAAACGGCGCAUUACUACGUUUUCUAGCCUCCAUCUGGCUAGAAACAUUUUGCAGAUUUUUAACACUUUAUAUUCACCCUGUGAUGUCACAAUCAUUUUUUAGAACAUUAGCGAUCUUAAAAACACGCUGUUUUCACACAUGUAGACACUGGUUUGGUCUUGGACAUAAUGAAUAUGAGGUUGAAAAUGGACGGAAUUACCCUUUAAGAACCGGCCUUCAGUCUGUGGCAUGUGGUGGGAAAAUGGCGGAGGCAUUGGCAAGUAUAUCGGUGGUACAGGACCAGAUCAGCUGUCCAAUCAGAGGGAUCCGGUAGCUCUCACACAGUUACUGCAUGAGCUGUGUUACACACUGCUGGACUGUAAAAUCAAAACGGUGUCUAUGUAACAAGUGUUGAAUUUCAUGUUGUAUAUUUACAUAAAAUCUGCAUAGUUCCCAUGCCUGAUAUUACUGUACAUUCCUUUUGUUGUAUGUGCCCUUUUUAAUGUCACACAUGUCCUUCUCUUUCUGCAUUCCUCCUAGGUAAUUGAAAAAUUGUCCCAUGAAAAUCAUAAUCCUGUAUGUUAAAACAGAUAUUGAGUUUAUAUUGCUACUAACAUUGUAAUAUUAUGGUCUUCUACCAGUACAUUGUGAUAUUUAUGGAUUUCAUGCAUUUAUUAACUUUCUGUUUUGUGAAUGCUGUACAUGCUAGCUAGCUACUGUACAUUCUACCUACAUGUCGUCAUUGGGCUAGCAUGGCUAUUCAUGUCUCCGGUUAAUUUAUACUUUACAGGACAGCACAACAUUUCAUUUAUGGAUGUUUGUUUAUCCGGUAUGUCAUGUGUUUGUUAUUUUGACGAUAUUUUACUGUUUGUUUGCAAGUGCACGUCAUGCACUAACUGUACGUAACGCUUGGCUGGCAUUUAUGAAAGUUGGCUAGCCCAGUCCCAUAGGCUAUACUCUACAUUGCAUUAUAUUGUAUCAUUAUCAAACGAGACAAAUGUUAUUCUUAUUUUCACACUGUCUAUUGUAUCCAUGUGGAAGUGAGGAGUUGGUGCGCAAGGGCAGCUCAACAUUUAAUUUAUGAAUGCUGUUGGUUUCUUUAUCAGAAUAAAACAUCAACCCU